AUGUGGGUUUUCCUCUUUCUGAUAGCAGCUUCCAGAGGUGCCUUGUCCCAGGUGAAGCUUCAGGAGUCAGGCCCAGGACUGGUGAAGCCCUCGCAAACCCUUUCUAUUACCUGUGCUGUCUCUGUAUUCUCUUUAAGCAGCUAUGCUGUGAGCUGGGUCCGUCAGCCUCCAGGGAAGCAACUAGACUGGCUUGGUGCAAUAGGGUAUAGUGGGAGCACAUUCUAUAACCCAACUCUCAAGUCCCAAGUCAGCAUCACCAAGGAAAACUCCAAGAGCCAAGUUUAA